rnacentral:rRNA from 1 species
ACAUUAGAUACCCGGGUAGUCCUAGCCGUAAACGAUACUCGCUAGGUGUCAGCCACGGUGCGACCGUUGUCGGUGCCGUAGGGAAGCCGUGAAGCGAGCCACCUGGGAAGUACGGCCGCAAGGCUGAAACUUAAAGGAAUUGGCGGGGGAGCACCACAACGGGUGGAGCUUGCGGUUUAAUUGGAUUCAACGCCGGAAAUCUUACCGGGACCGACAGCAAUAUGAAGGCCAGGCUGAAGACUUUGCCGGAUUAGCUG